rnacentral:rRNA from 13 species
GGGGUUGACGCGGGGAAGUGAAACAUCUCAGUACCCGUAGGAGAAGAAAACAAUUGUGAUUCCGUGUGUAGUGGCGAGCGAUAGCGGAUGAGGCUAAACCGUGUGCGUGUGAUACCUGGCAGGGGUUGCGUGUGUGGUGUUGUGGGGUGCAGUGUUUCUGGGCUGCUGACCAGGAGCGUGCGCGUGCGUGUUAGCGGAAGCAUCUGGGAUGGUGCGCCGGAGUGGGUGAGAGUCCUGUACGUGAAGGCGUGUGCGUGUGUGUUGUUGUUGCCCCGAGUAGCAGCGGGCUCGUGGAAUCUGCUGUGAAUCUGCCGGGACCACCCGGUAAGCCUAAAUACUCAGUGUGACCGAUAGUGGAUAGUACCGUGAGGGAAUGGUGAAAAGUACCCCGGGAGGGGAGUGAAAGAGUUCCUGAAACCGGUCGCAUGCAAGCCGUCAGAGCCUGUGUGGUGAUGGCGUGCCUUUUGAAGAAUGAGCCUGCGAGUUAGUGAUGCGUGGCGAGGUUAACCCGUGGUGGGGGAGUCGUAGCGAAAGCGAGUCCGAUAAGGGCGUGAGUCGCGUGUUCUAGACCCGAAGCGGUGUGAUCUAUCCAUGGCCAGGAUGAAGCGUCGGUAAGACGUCGUGGAGGUCCGAACCCACUUCAGUUAAAAAUGGAGGGGAUGAGUUGUGGAUAGGGGUGAAAGGCCAAUCAAACACCGUGAUAGCUGGUUCUCCCCGAAAUGCAUUUAGGUGCAGCGUUGCGUGGUUCUUGUUGGAGGUAGAGCACUGGAUGGUCUAGGGGGCCUAUCAGCUUACCGAAACCAGCCAAACUCCGAAUGCCGGCACGUGGAGCGCAGCAGUGAGACGGCGGGGGAUAAGCUUCGUCGUCGAGAGGGAAACAGCCCAGAUCAUCAGCUAAGGCCCCUAAGUGAUAGCUAAGUGGAAAAGGAUGUGGAGUUGCGUAGACAACCAGGAGGUUGGCUUGGAAGCAGCCAUCCUUGAAAGAGUGCGUAAUAGCUCACUGGUCAAGUGAUUCCGCGCCGACAAUGUAGCGGGGCUCAAGUUAUCCGCCGAAGCUGUGGCAACUUUUUUUGAGUUGGGUAGGGGAGCGUCGUGUUCGUGGUGAAGCAGCCUGGUGAUGGGUUGUGGAGUGGAUGCGAGUGAGAAUGCAGGCAUGAGUAGCGAAUGACGGGUGGGAAACCCGUCCGCCGAAUAUCCAAGGGUUCCAGGGUCAAGUUAAUCUGCCCUGGGUGAGUCGGGACCUAAGGCGAGGCCGACAGGCGUAGUCGAUGGACGACCAGUUGAUAUUCUGGUACCGGUGUAGCACCGUCCGUGUCGAGGUGUGUGAUGCUAAGCGUGCGAGUGUCCUGGUGAUCCCUUCGGGGUGAUCUUGUGGCGUGAGUGUGUGAACCGAUCAUGUAGUAGACAAGCUGCGGAGGGACACAGUGAGGUAGCUCGUCCCCGGCGAUGGUUGUCCGGGGCUAAAUGUGUGGACUGUCUGGUAGGUAAAUCCGUCAGACGUUGAGUUGAGGCAUGAUGGCGAGCCAUGUUUGUGUGGUGAGCGAGUGAUCCUGUGCUGUCGAGAAAAGCUUCGUGAGCGAGGUGUGAGCCGCCCGUACCCUAAACCGACACUGGUGGAUUGGUAGAGUAUACCGAGGCGAUCGAGAGAAUCAUGGUGAAGGAACUCGGCAAAAUGCCCCCGUAACUUUGGAAGAAGGGGGACCUGAGCUGUUGCCGCCACGUGCUGGUGGUUGCGGUGAGGGGCGCAGAGAAUUGGGGGAAGCGACUGUUUACCAAAAACACAGGUCCGUGCGAAGUCGUAAGACGAUGUAUACGGACUGACUCCUGCCCGGUGCUGGAAGGUUAAGGGGGGGAGUUAGCUUCGGCGAAGCUCUGAACUGAAGCCCCAGUAAACGGCGGCCGUAACUAUAACGGUCCUAAGGCAGCG